rnacentral:rRNA from 1 species
CUACGGGCUGCUCCAGUGGGGAAUAUUGGACAAUGGGGGAAACCCUGAUCCAGCAAUGCCGCGUGUGUGAAGAAGGCCUGCGGGUUGUAAAGCACUUUCGGUUGGGAGGACUGCUUCUAGCACUAAUAUUGUUGGAAGUUGACGUUACCUUCAGAGGAAGCACCGGCUAACUCCGUGCCAGCAGCCGCGGUAAUACGGAGGGUGCAAGCGUUAAUCGGAAUUACUGGGCGUAAAGCGCGCGUAGGCGGCUAGAUCAGUCGGGUGUGAAAGCCCCGGGCUUAACCUGGGAACUGCAUCCGAUACUGUCUAGCUUGAGUACAGGAGAGGAGAGUGGAAUUCCACAUGUAGCGGUGAAAUGCGUAGAUAUGUGGAGGAACACCAAUGGCGAAGGCAGCUCUCUGGCCUGAUACUGACGCUGAGGUGCGAAAGCGUGGUGAGCAAACAGGAUUAGAUACCCGUGUAGUC